CCUACGGGUGGCAGCAGUGGGGAAUAUUGGGCAAUGGGCGCAAGCCUGACCCAGCAACGCCGCGUGAAGGAAGAAGGCUUUCGGGUUGUAAACUUCUUUUCUGAGGGACGAAGAAAGUGACGGUACCUCAGGAAUAAGCCACGGCUAACUACGUGCCAGCAGCCGCGGUAAUACGUAGGUGGCAAGCGUUAUUCGGAUGUAUUGGGUGUAAGGGGCGUGUAGGCGGGAAAGGAAGUCAGAUGUGCAAACUCAGGGCUCAACCCUGGUCAUGCUUUUGAAACUGUGUUUCUUGAGUGCUGGAGGGGCAAUCGGAAGUCCGUGUGUAGCGGUGAAAUGCGUAGAUAUACGGAGGAACACCAGUGGCGAAGGCGGAUUGCUGGACAGUAACUGACGCUGAGGCGCGAAAGCGUGGGGAGCAAACAGGAUUAGAUACCCUAGUAGUC
rnacentral:rRNA from 1 species